rnacentral:rRNA from 1 species
UACGUAGGGAGCUAGCGUUGUCCGGAAUCAUUGGGCGUAAAGCGCGUGUAGGCGGUUCGGUAAGUCCGCUGUGAAAGUCGGGGGCUCAACCCUCGAAUGCCGGUGGAUACUGUCGGACUAGAGUACGGAAGAGGCGAGUGGAAUUCCUGGUGUAGCGGUGAAAUGCGCAGAUAUCAGGAGGAACACCAAUUGCGAAGGCAGCUCGCUGGGACGUUACUGACACUGAGGCGCGAAAGCGUGGGGAGCGAACAGG